UACGGAGGAUGCGAGCGUUAUCCGGAUUUAUUGGGUUUAAAGGGUGCGUAGGCGGCACGGCAAGCCGGCGGUCAAAUCGCGGGGCUCAACCCCGCCCAGCCGUCGGAACUGCCGGGCUAGAGUGGGCGAGAAGUGCGCGGAAUGCGUGGUGUAGCGGUGAAAUGCAUAGAUAUCACGCAGAACUCCGAUUGCGAAGGCAGCGCACCGGCGCCCUACUGACGCUCAGGCACGAAAGCGUGGGUAUCGAACAGG
rnacentral:rRNA from 1 species